rnacentral:rRNA from 1 species
UGAGCAAUCUGCCCUUCACAUCGGAAUAACCAUUGGAAACGAUGGCUAAUACCGAAUACGACUUCGGACCGCAUGGUCUGAAGUGGAAAGCUCCGGCGGUGAAGGAUGAGCUCGCGGCCUAUCAGCUUGUUGGUGAGGUAAUAGCUCACCAAGGCGAUGACGGGUAGCCGGCUGAGAGGGUGACCGGCCACACUGGGACUGAGACACGGCCCAGACUNUACGGGAG